UACGGGGGGAGCAAGCGUUGUUCGGAUUUACUGGGCGUAAAGGGCGCGUAGGCGGUCGUGACAAGUCACUUGUGAAAUCUCUGGGCUUAACCCAGAACGGCCAAGUGAUACUGUCGCGCUAGAGUGCGGAAGGGGCAAUCGGAAUUCUUGGUGUAGCGGUGAAAUGCGUAGAUAUCAAGAGGAACACCUGAGGUGAAGACGGGUUGCUGGGCCGACACUGACGCUGAGGCGCGAAAGCCAGGGGAGCAAACGGG
rnacentral:rRNA from 1 species